CAUAGCUGGACAGAGGACGAGACCGAAAAAGAGAGGGAGGGCGUGCGAGGUGAGAAAACAGAAAUAGAACAUAAGUGCUGAGCCCCCCCGAUUGCAUCGUAAAUGUUGUAAUUGCGACAAUGACACGUCCCGCACGAAUCGUUUGGCGGUUUUUGCGUACAAUCAGGGGAAAGAUGGAGAUCUCCACCAGCUACAACAAAAAACGGGGCAUUUGCCAGAGAUGAUACAAAAGCUCAUCGCAAGAAUAUUGCAUCAAACAAGACUUAUCGUCCUGCCAUUGCUAGAUAACGAUUUAUCGCCACCAUGUUCACGUUAAUCUAAAUCACUCUGCACCGCCAGCACGCCAGACGAGAAAGGUGCUACUUCUGGUCGAUUCUGAUCAUGUUAUGUUAAUGAGGUUCGACCUUGCCCUACCGCACCGAUCUUUUCUAAUCCAGCUAAGGCGGCUUGUUAUGGAUGUUUGACUGUGUGUGUAGGUUUUCUCAAUCAGUGAGAUAAUUUAACCCGUUACAGCACGCAUUUCCAUCAAUCAUAUAUGGCCGUUACCAAGACCGUUAACGUCAGCUGUGGAGUGUCGUUGCUUUGUCGCUGUUGUGACGUUGGUGGUGACGACCGUUUUCUGCAGCUGGAAUGCACUCUGGCUGUCUUUUCUAGAACAGCAUAUGCUUCCCAUACACACACACAGAGGGUGGCACUGGGCACAGAAAAUGAUAAGGUGUAGUGCAACACUUAAUUUACCUUGCAUUUUCCUGCACGGGAUUGUAUAAUCCAUUGGUCCGUUUGGCUGACGGCUUUGUGCUGCUGGUGGUGUGCUGCUCUCCAUUGGUAACUUCUUUUAAAUUCGUUCGAUUCAUCUUUAAAAAAGCUUUAGUUUUAUUUGUACACUUGUCCUAUUAAUUUUCUUGGUGUUUUGGCACUCAGGCACUCUUUUCAGUUAACGUUUUGGCAAUUUUAUUUACAAUCUUCCCUCAAUGAUACACUUCACUGUAUACACAAACAGUGGAGGAGAGACCGUUUAAAUCACAACACGCUCUCGCACUCGGUUCACACGCCGCGUCUUCCAAAGCAAACCCGUUCGCGAUGACCGCUCGACUGCAAGUGACCGGACAGUGGAGAUCCGGCCGCUAAUGACAAUGAAGCUGCAAGUCAACCGCUCUGGGGCUGUGUGUGGACCCAAACCGAUUCCGCGCUGUGCGCUAGUGUUGGUGACAAUGCGGAAUGACAAUCGCUGACUUUGUUUCUACAACAUUGCUCUGGUGGACGCGUGGAAUGUAUGUUAUGGCUUUUCGAGACAGGCGAGGCGCAGCUCCGAAUGAUAACGAAUUUACGAGGCACGCAUUCUCGCGCCAAGAAUAGGGUUUUGAAAAACACUGUUCACUGGGAAUUUCCGUUUCGUUUUUUUUUUUAAAUCUACCGCAGAGAUGAUGGUAACAUUUGUUUCUAAAAUUACGCUUCAAUUAUUCAUAACAAUACCUUGCAAUGUACGUCCCAUCAACAAAUAAUUCAAAUUUCUUCCCUUAGCAUUGCUAUAAUUAAUUUAUAGCAUCGGCAAUAUUUUAUAGCUUGCUUAUAGAACGAUGCACCAUAAACACGUUGAUAAGUUCCUUUGCAGUGACUGCGUCCCACCCUUUGCUGGCGUAUUCCCUUGCUGCAUUUAUGGGACUUUACUUUCCUCCUGUGUAAAUGGCUUAAUUUAAUAGCAUCAUCACGGCCAAUUGCUUCCGACGAUAAUGUGGUACGAUCAAAGCAUAGCGAGCAGCAGCAGCCGCAGCAAAGGUCAGUGCGCGGUUCUGCCAACAAUGAUUUCCAUCCACCAUUAGCGAGCUACAGCUGGAUUUGGCGGGUGUUAAACCGUAUUUUGGGAAUACCGUUUUAGCGUCCGUCCCUUCCCCAAUCAUCCAAACACCCCACCCGAGGGGUCACGCUGGGGACACGCUGGAAUUGAAUUAGCGUCACUCGGGGCGUAUCAAUUGCGUGCGAAGCCGGAUUGUAACUACAGCACGAGAGGUCGCCAAAAUGUUCAUUCUUUCCGCCCAGGGACAAUCACUGUGCAGGGUUCGAUUUUAAUUAAAAUUGUUUUAUUUUAAGCAUUUUUCACAGAUUUUUUGGUUGUUUGUUUUUUUUUUUACAUAAAAGGAAUGUGUUUUUUUCUUUUCUUGUUGCAAUUCACACGCGAAUGUAAAAGGAUUUGCUGUGUCGUUUAAAUCACU